UAGUACGAGAGGACCGGAGUGGACGAACCUCUGGUGUUCGGGUUGUCAUGCCAAUGGCACUGCCCGGUAGCUAUGUUCGGAAUCGAUAACCGCUGAAAGCAUCUAAGCGGGAAGCGAGCCUCGAGAUAAGCUCUCACUAGCACUUUGAGUGCUCUGAAGGGUUGUUGAAGACGACGACGUUGAUAGGCGGGGUGUGGAAGCGUAGUAAUGCGUUGAGCUAACCCGUACUAAUUGCCCGUGAGACUUAACCAUACAACACCGAAG
rnacentral:rRNA from 1 species